rnacentral:misc_RNA from 1 species
UCUCCGUUGGUGAACCAGCGGAGGGAUCAUUACUGAGUUACCGCUCUACAACCCUUUGUGAACAUACCUAACUGUUGCUUCGGCGGGCAGAGGUUCCUCGCGGAUCUCUCCCGGCAACGCCCUCACGGGCGGAGCGCCCGCCGGAGGAUACCAAACUCUAUUUUAACGACGUUUCUUCUGAGUGGCACAAGCAAAUAAUUAAAACUUUUAACAACGGAUCUCUUGGUUCUG